AUACGGAGGGUGCAAGCGUUGUCCGGAUUUAUUGGGUUUAAAGGGUGCGUAGGUGGCGUGUUAAGUCAGUGGUGAAAGCCUGCAGCUCAACUGUAGAGGUGCCAUUGAUACUGACAUGCUUGAGUAUGGACGAGGUAGGCGGAAUUUGUGGUGUAGCGGUGAAAUGCAUAAAUACCACAAAGAACACCGAUAGCGAAGGCAGCUUACUGGACCAUAACUGACACUGAGGCACGAAAGUGUGGGUAGCGAACAGGAUUAGAAACCCCAGUAGUCC
rnacentral:rRNA from 1 species